rnacentral:rRNA from 1 species
AAAUUGAAGAGUUUGAUCAUGGCUCAGAUUGAACGCUGGCGGCAGGCCUAACACAUGCAAGUCGAACGGUAACAGGAAGCAGCUUGCUGCUUUGCUGACGAGUGGCGGACGGGUGAGUAAUGUCUGGGAAACUGCCUGAUGGAGGGGGAUAACUACUGGAAACGGUAGCUAAUACCGUAUAACGUCGCAAGACCAAAGAGGGGGACCUUCGGGCCUCUUGCCAUCGGAUGUGCCCAGAUGGGAUUAGCUAGUAGGUGGGGUAACGGCUCACCUAGGCGACGAUCCCUAGCUGGUCUGAGAGGAUGACCAGCCACACUGGAACUGAGACACGGUCCAGACUCCUACGGGAGGCAGCAGUGGGGAAUAUUGCACAAUGGGCGCAAGCCUGAUGCAGCCAUGCCGCGUGUAUGAAGAAGGCCUUCGGGUUGUAAAGUACUUUCAGCGGGGAGGAAGGGAGUAAAGUUAAUACCUUUGCUCAUUGACGUUACCCGCAGAAGAAGCACCGGCUAACUCCGUGCCAGCAGCCGCGGUAAUACGGAGGGUGCAAGCGUUAAUCGGAAUUACUGGGCGUAAAGCGCACGCAGGCGGUUUGUUAAGUCAGAUGUGAAAUCCCCGGGCUCAACCUGGGAACUGCAUCUGAUACUGGCAAGCUUGAGUCUCGUAGAGGGGGGUAGAAUUCCAGGUGUAGCGGUGAAAUGCGUAGAGAUCUGGAGGAAUACCGGUGGCGAAGGCGGCCCCCUGGACGAAGACUGACGCUCAGGUGCGAAAGCGUGGGGAGCAAACAGGAUUAGAUACCCUGGUAGUCCACGCCGUAAACGAUGUCGACUUGGAGGUUGUGCCCUUGAGGCGUGGCUUCCGGAGCUAACGUGUUAAGUCGACCGCCUGGGGAGUACGGCCGCAAGGUUAAAACUCAAAUGAAUUGACGGGGGCCCGCACAAGCGGUGGAGCAUGUGGUUUAAUUCGAUGCAACGCGAAGAACCUUACCUGGUCUUGACAUCCACGGAAGUUUUCAGAGAUGAGAAUGUGCCUUCGGGAACCGUGAGACAGGUGCUGCAUGGCUGUCGUCAGCUCGUGUUGUGAAAUGUUGGGUUAAGUCCCGCAACGAGCGCAACCCUUAUCCUUUGUUGCCAGCGGUCCGGCCGGGAACUCAAAGGAGACUGCCAGUGAUAAACUGGAGGAAGGUGGGGAUGACGUCAAGUCAUCAUGGCCCUUACGACCAGGGCUACACACGUGCUACAAUGGCGCAUACAAAGAGAAGCGACCUCGCGAGAGCAAGCGGACCUCAUAAAGUGCGUCGUAGUCCGGAUUGGAGUCUGCAACUCGACUCCAUGAAGUCGGAAUCGCUAGUAAUCGUGGAUCAGAAUGCCACGGUGAAUACGUUCCCGGGCCUUGUACACACCGCCCGUCACACCAUGGGAGUGGGUUGCAAAAGAAGUAGGUAGCUUAACCUUCGGGAGGGCGCUUACCACUUUGUGAUUCAUGACUGGGGUGAAGUCGUAACAAGGUAACCGUAGGGGAACCUGCGGUUGGAUCACCUCCUUA